CUCUGAAGGCAGAAACUCUCCAGCACCAAGGGAGGGGAACCCCGGGGAGAAGAUGCUUCUGCAAGCUAACAGCUGGCCUGUCCCUUUUGCCCUGGUCCAGGGUAAAUCCUCUACAGCUCUCUUCUCCUCCCACCCCUGUGCUCUACUGACUUCCCAGCCCAAUGCAUUCUCAAAGUCUGUUCCUCCAAGCUGCUCUGGUUGUCCCAGAAGUCGACUAACAGUUGUAGAUGGACACAAUAUCUUUAUUUCAUGUGGUGCUGAGGAUCGAACCCAGGGCCUCACACAUGCUAGGUGAGAGCUCUACCGCUGAGCCACAACCCCAGCCCUAGAUCAGAAGGGGUCUUCUUCAAAUAUCCCUUCACCCCAUCUUCUUAGCUCCAAGCUUCUACAACCUCCUUUGGAAAACAGAAAUGUGAAAUCAAGAAGUGAUAUUACAAACUGAGAUUCUCUUUGUUCUAAUUAUAAAAGUGCUUUCCUUGUUC